AGAGUUUGAUCCUGGCUCAGAACGAACGCUGGCGGCAUGCCUAACACAUGCAAGUCGAACGAGACCUUCGGGUCUAGUGGCGCACGGGUGCGUAACGCGUGGGAACCUGCCUUUAGGUUCGGAAUAACUCAGAGAAAUUUGAGCUAAUACCGGAUAAUGUCUUCGGACCAAAGAUUUAUCGCCUUUAGAUGGGCCCGCGUUGGAUUAGCUAGUUGGUGGGGUAAAGGCCUACCAAGGCGACGAUCCAUAGCUGGUUUGAGAGGAUGAUCAGCCACACUGGGACUGAGACACGGCCCAGACUCCUACGGGAGGCAGCAGUGGGGAAUCUUAGACAAUGGGCGCAAGCCUGAUCUAGCCAUGCCGCGUGAUCGAUGAAGGCCUUAGGGUUGUAAAGAUCUUUCGUGGGGGAAGAUAAUGACGGUAGUCGGAGAAGAAGCCCCGGCUAACUUCGUG
rnacentral:rRNA from 1 species